GAUGAACGCUGGCGGCGUGCCUAAUACAUGCAAGUCGAGCGAACGGACGAGGAGCUUGCUCCUCUGACGUUAGCGGCGGACGGGUGAGUAACACGUGGAUAACCUACCUAUAAGACUUGGAUAACUUCGGGAAACCGGAGCUAAUACCGGAUAAUAUAUUGAACCGCAUGGUUCAAUAGUUAAAGACGGUUUUGCUGUCACUUAUAGAUGGAUCCGCGCCGCAUUAGCUAGUUGGUAAGGUAACGGCUUACCAAGGCGACGAUGCGUAGCCGACCUGAGAGGGUGAUCGGCCACACUGGAACUGAGACACGGUCCAGACUCCUACGGGAGGCAGCAGUAGGGAAUCUUCCGCAAUGGGCGAAAGCCUGACGGAGCAACGCCGCGUGAGUGAUGAAGGUCUUCGGAUCGUAAAACUCUGUUAUUAGGGAAGAACAAAUGUGUAAGUAACUACGCACGUCUUGACGGUACCUAAUCAGAAAGCCACGGCUAACUACGUG
rnacentral:rRNA from 1 species